ensembl:lncRNA
CUGCUGCCCUGGAAAUAGUUUUGACAGACUCUGUUCUAGUUGUUCAGGCCUCGUUCACGACCUGCUUAAAGAACCAAAAGGAAAUUACCGUCUUAUGCUCUGUGUCCCUCAUCUAGGCUCUGGCUCUUGGGUUUUUGGUUCUUUGAGGAAUGGUCCCUGAACGGUAGGAUAAUUUUUUCAAAAUCUAGUACCAACCCUGGCCCAGAAGGGGCCAGGUAGGAUCUGACACCAGAAACAACGUUCUUCACCACACAUUUCAUAUCUGUAACAUCCUUCAAUAGCCUCCAGGGAAAGAAACUAAAUUCAACAGAAGAAUAGCAAGGUGGGGUGGGGGAGGUGCUGUUCCUCUUGCAUUAUGGAAAUAAUCUCCAAAGGACAGAAGUGAGAUCCUAUUCUUGGGUCUCAGUGUUUGGCUAAGGAUCAUGGAAUCAUAAACUGGAAAGAUCUUUAGAGAUUUGUUGAUCCAACCUUUCCUUUAAAGGAUGAGGGAGCAGAGAUCCACUGGAUUAAAUGGCUGGUCCAAGGUCACACAGCAAGUGUAGAGUCUGGCAAAAGGCUAACGUCUCCCUGACCCCUUAGGUCAUCACACCACAUGGUCCCUGAUCCUCUGGUUCCCCGUGAUACUGACCAGGUAAGAUGUAGUUUUCAGCCUUUACCUGGCGUCUUUCUCUUAAGUUGUUUGUCUCAGGUGCUCCCUGUAUAUGGCCUUGUGUUUGCUAGUCCUGGGGGAGGGUGUGAUGGUGAGGAAGGCUGUAGCUAGGUUUCCCUUAGAAACCGAUAGCUGGAGAUGGCAACGGCUUGGAGGAAAUCUGAAUCCAAGAAAGGAUUGCUUUGUGGAAGACAAAGACCCAGAAAGUGCUCAAGAUUGCAUUCGUGCUGGAGAGAGAGUGACAGAAGUAUCUUUGUCUAGGCAAGACAGCUGCAAGCCAGGAAACGAAACAAAGGAAAUCAGGGAGCUGGAUACCCUGGGGGAACAAGCAUUUUCAAGGAUAUGGAGUUUAUGGAUAGAGUUUAUUCUGAAGAUCCACGUGAGCAGAUAUGAGAAAGACCAGCUGUCUUUUGUCUCUUUGGCCCACUUUAACUUUGCUGGGCUCUGUGGUCAAGCCCCAUUUAGUCCACGACCCACGAGAGGAAACAGGGCUGGCUCUCGGCAUUCAGUGGGGGAGGGGGGGAGGGGGAGGCAGAAGGCAUGCUUGUAGGGAGAGUGAGAUGAGCUGAAGAAGAAUGGGAGCAUAGAAGUAGAUUUCUAGGAAUGAAAUGGGGCAGAUUCUAUCUUGAUGAAUCAUAAGGAUCAUGUUAAAAUAGCUUUUCUUUAAUACCAGGAAAAGUGACUCCCCUUUUGGAUGGAAUUGUCCAUUUCCUGCCCUGCCCCAUUCUUCACUUGCUAGGGGGAGGUCAGAGGCCCUCUCUCAGUCCAGGGCAGGACACGAUGACUGUGACCCAGCCAAGGCCAACACCAGAGAGAUGAUUCAGAGUUUGAAGUAGUGCCCCAGGUGCCAACAGGAUGACCUCGAGACCCCAACUUCCACUUGGGUCCUGCUCCUUCCCAAAAAGGCCAACCCAAAGGCUCAGAGAUCGUGAGAAGGGCAUGGGCUAGAAAGAUUGUGUCAAGAGGAGUCUGGAGCCUCAUUUCCUGCCUACCAAUAAAAAUGUCCCUCCCACUUUUAUGAAAGUGGCUGAUAUGUAAGAACAGGCAGGAGGGAAACCCUUUGUGUCAAUGACUCUCUUCUCAAGGAAUGGCCCUUUGGGGGCAGGGGUCUGUGCUGCUAGCUGGUACCUCAUUUGCCACCCCCCUUCCCUAACCCCAGGCAGCCUCUGGGGCCAUCUUGCUUUCACUUUCCUUGAAUGUACAUGGGAACAGUGGAGGAAAGUCUCUUGCUGAAGUGCCUGAAACCCAGAACUAGAGCUUCUAGAGACGCUGUUCUUCCUGUCCCGGCUUGGCCAACCUUCCCCCAACGUUCCCUAGUCUCAUGCUUCAGCUUCUCAGAAAGAAUAAAAGAACAUGAUGUUGUAAUUAAAUUGAAAGCAAGACUCCAUAACCAAACUACAGCAAAAGGCAGAGAAUUACAGGGAGAAAUGACUUGUAUUUUAAUAGCCCAAAUCUAUUCCCCCAAACAGACUCUCUCUCUCUCUCUCUCUCUCUCUCUAGAGGACGAAGAGAGAGAAGCAUGUUAUAUUUUAUUCAUCAAAAGAGUAAUGCAAAAAUAAAUCAGUAGAAUAUGAAAAGCUCAGGAUCUCUCCCAAGGCUACGGCAGGAAAGCAGGCAGGUGAGAUGGGAAGGAUGGAAACAGGGAUCGAUUUUGUAGUUCAUCCAAUUUGGACACCUUAGGACUAGCAUCGUGGUAAAGAUGAUGAAUGUGCUCUGUCCACUUCAUUUGGUCUGCGCCUUCCUAUAGCUGCCCAGUAAACGCGAUUCUUCACGUGGUUUCUUUGUUGUGUAUGUUUGGAAUGUCCUAUUAGCCUGUAACAGUCAGUUAGGAAUGAGUUACACUCUUUCCCUCCGCCUUCAGUCUAGGUCUGGCGCCCAGACCUCAGCUUGAUCCAAGCAGUCUCAAGGAUUGGCAUGGGGAGGGGGAAGCUUUUUUGAAUCACUUUUUGGUCCCUGAAUCUGCCAUUUUGAGAAUAAGAUUUGCUUUGGAAAUCAACACAUUAAUAAAAACUACAUUCAAGUUGCAACACCAUCUCACAGUGAAAUAUUUUGAGUAAAAUUUUGUUGCUAGAAUAGUCACAGACAAAAGUUUUAUCGGCAAAAUGUUUCAAUUACGUUAAUAAAUAAGAUGAUGCUACU